GCAGAACGCGAAGAACCUUACCGGCUCUUGACAUGUCUCGUAUGGAUUUCAGAGAUGAGAUCCUUCAGUUCGGCUGGCGAGAACACAGGUGCUGCAUGGCUGUCGUCAGCUCGUGUCGUGAGAUGUUGGGUUAAGUCCCGCAACGAGCGCAACCCUCGCCCUUAGUUGCCAUCAUUAAGUUGGGCACUCUAAGGGGACUGCCGGUGAUAAGCCGCGAGGAAGGUGGGGAUGACGUCAAGUCCUCAUGGCCCUUACGGGCCGGGCUACACACGUGCUACAAUGGCGGUGACAAUGGGAUGCAAUGGAGCGAUCCUGCGCAAAUCUCAAAAAGCCGUCUCAAUUCGGAUUGGGGUCUGCAACUCGACCCCAUGAAGUCGGAAUCGCUAGUAAUCGCAGAUCAGCACGCUGCGGUGAAUACGUUCCCGGG
rnacentral:rRNA from 1 species